UACGUAGGGUCCGAGCGUUGUCCGGAUUUAUUGGGCGUAAAGAGCUCGUAGGCGGUUCCGUAAGUCAGAUGUGAAAACUCAGGGCUCAACCCGGAGACGCCAUCUGAUACUGCGGUGACUGGAGUGUGGUAGGGGAGACUGGAAUUCCUGGUGUAGCGGUGAAAUGCGCAGAUAUCAGGAGGAACACCGAUGGCGAAGGCAGGUCUCUGGGCCACUACUGACGCUGAGAAGCGAAAGCAUGGGGAGCGAACAGG
rnacentral:rRNA from 1 species